GAUGAACGCUGGCGGCGUGCCUAAUACAUGCAAGUCGAGCGAACAGACGAGGAGCUUGCUCCUCUGACGUUAGCGGCGGACGGGUGAGUAACACGUGGAUAACCUACCUAUAAGACUGGGAUAACUUCGGGAAACCGGAGCUAAUACCGGAUAAUAUAUUGAACCGCAUGGUUCAAUAGUGAAAGACGGUUUUGCUGUCACUUAUAGAUGGAUCCGCGCCGCAUUAGCUAGUUGGUAAGGUAACGGCUUACCAAGGCAACGAUGCGUAGCCGACCUGAGAGGGGGGACGGGCCACCUGGAACCUAGACACGGUCCAGACUCCUACGGGAGGCAGCAGUAGGGAAUCUUCCGCAAUGGGCGAAAGCCUGACGGAGCAACGCCGCGUGAGUGAUGAAGGUCUUCGGAUCGUAAAACUCUGUUAUUAGGGAAGAACAAAUGUGUAAGUAACUAUGCACGUCUUGACGGUACCUAAUCAGAAAGCCACGGCUAACUACGUG
rnacentral:rRNA from 1 species